rnacentral:rRNA from 1 species
AUAUAACUAAGCGGAGGAAAAGAAACUAACCAGGAUUCCCCUAGUAACGGCGAGUGAAGCGGGAAAAGCUCAGACUGAAAAUCUUCGGAAUUGUAGUCUGGAGAAGUUAGGUCAGCGGAAGCGCCGGGUAAAGUCUCCUGCGAAUGGAGCGCCGAGGAGGGUGAGAGCCCCGUUCAUGCCUGGCGUGGAAACGUACGACCAGCUUUCAACGAGUCGAGUUGUUUGGGACUGCAGCUCUAAGUGGGUGGUAAAUUCCAUCUAAAGCUAAAUAUUGGUGGGAGACCGAUAGCGCACAAGUA